UCUUAAAAAGAAGGAAUAAGACAAAGAAACACUUUAUCUCCAGAUAUCGGUUGAAGGUCAUCCCCUUCUAUCAUAAGUUUCAUCUUUCUACAUCACUCCAGCUUAUCAAGCUGUUCAAACUCAGCAAAGGAGAUGAGAAACCUGUUGAGGCAAGACAAAUCCUGGAAAAAGUGAUAACGUGAUGAAUUAUACAGCCAUUGAAGGCUAUUAUUUGCAAGAGAAAACAUGCUAAAGUCAAACUCAAUUUUUAAAAUGCCCAUUGUCCAAUCCCUAGGUCACCUAUGUCUUCUGAGUAAACAUGAAUGGACCAUGUAAUUACUACAUAAACAACAAAAUAUAAAGGCAAAGAAUUAGUUUAAAUGUGAGAGAGGACACAGGUGACAUAUACUACAUUGGAUGCUUAAUGAGCCCCUCUUGGAUGCUACUCUUUCUUGAGUCAGCCAAGGAGAGAAGUCUGGCUCCAAACAAUUCGGUCUGCAAAGAGAUGGAUGAGCCAUUUCUUCAGCUAUAUGUAGAUCACCUGAAAUUGAAACCUGAGUGUUCUGUCUCUUAAUUUGCGGGUCACAGAAUCCCACUAAGAAUUGGAAGGACCUUAGCAGUCAUUGCAUGGUGCUCCUCAGUAAUACACAAAUUCUAUAAUAACUGUUCAAAUACCUCUGGGGACUUGUCAGGCAAGUGUGUUGCUCCCUUCCAGAAAUAUAAGGAAGCAAAGUUCUCUUUCUAGUCAAGCCAAAUACAGAAGAUGCCCCAUUGGAAUCUGAAUCUUGCUAUUUGACAGUGAUGAUGCUGAUGAACCGGUACUCCAAGCUAAACCAGUAUUUGUACUGCAGAUACUACUUGCAUGUAUUUCUCAAGCUAUAAUUUGCUUCUUAGGCUGCACUCCGAAAAACUAAUUUCUGCCUGCAAAAAGAAACCUAAGUAUCUUCACCCCCAACUUCUGAUAUUGAUACACUGAUUUUUAAGCUCACUAUGUGGCAUUUAAGUCUGUUACAGACUUAUCUUUCCAGCCUUAUCUCAAUCUACUCCGCUUCACAUUCAUAUGUUCCACUGAAACUGACCUACUCACUUUUCCUCAAUAAUUUUUUUUUUUUUUUUUUUUGAGACAGAGUCUCGCUCUGUCGCCCUGACUGGAGUACAGUGGCACGAUCUCGGCUCACUGCAACUUCCACCUCCUGGGUUCAAGCGAUUCUCCUGCCUCAGCCUCCAGAGUAGCUGGGAUUACAGCCAAGCGCCACCACACCCAGCUAAUUUUUGUAUUUUUAGUAGAGAUGGGGUUUCACCAUGUUGGCCAGGCUGGUCUCAAACUCCUGACCUCAAGUGAUUUGCCUGCCUCGGCCUCCCAAAGUGCUAGGAUUACAGGUGUGAGCCACCGUGCCUGGCCCCUCAAUAAAAUUCAGCAUUUUGACAUUUGUAUGCGUUUUCAGGCUUUUGUAAUUCCCUGGAAUUCCUUUUAUUUUUUCCCCUCAUUUUCUAUAUAUGUACAAAUCCUGCCAUUAUUUAUUCAACAUUUAUCAUGCACAAAAAUGUGCCAGAAUUAAGGAUAAAGCUAAAACAUGGACCUUGAUCUUUUUGAUUUAUAAUCUAACUCAUUCCAGGAGGUUUUUCUUGAAUUCCUAAGAAAUCUCCCUUUUUUGAAUUUCCCUAGCAAUCUUCUCUUACAGAAAUUGACUUAUAGUUUUUAAAAUACAAGAUAAAAAAUGCCAUAUAUACACAGCAAGCUUCUUGAGCGCAAGAAACUUUCUAAUUUUUACUUCCUUACAGCAUCUGGAAGAAUACUUACCAAAUAUUCAUUCAUUCAAAAAGUAUUUAUUAAUUCUUACAAAAUCCAUGUAGGUUUCAAUAUCUACCUAUAAGGAGUCUGAUGCAAAAAGACAAGGUACUUGCCUUUGUGGGGCUACUCAAGAGGAAGAAGGCUCUCUCAGUAAAAAUGUAAGCAAAUAAAUAUAUAUAGGUAGGUAUAAUUAUCAUUUGUGUAAGUGGUAUGAAGGAGGUACAAAAAUGAACUGUGGCAGAGAAUAACGGUGAAAGAACUAAUUUAGAUGGAGGACAGGUGGGAAGCGAAAGAGAGGAGCUUUCUUAAAGGAGCUGACUUUAAACAGACUGAUAAAUUAAUUAUUGGAGUUUAGUAGAAGGAAAGGUAAGAGCCUUCCUGAGUCGAGAGAAGAAAUAAGGGAUCAAGGUUAGUAUGAACAGAACAUACUGAGUGAGCGGAGGAGAGGCUAAUGAGGUUGAAGAGGGAAGCAUAAAGGAUACUCAAUUAAGAAUGUCUAGGCAUGGUGGCUCACGCCUGUAAUCCCAACACUUUGGGAGGCCAAGAAGGGUGAAUCACUUGAGGUCAGGAGUUCAAGACCAGACUGGCCAACGGGGUGAAACCCCAUCUCUACUAAAAAUACAAAAGUUAGCUGGGCGUGGUGGCGCAUGCCUGUACUCCCAGCUACUCGGGAGGCUGAGGCAGAAGAAUCACUUGAACCCAGGAGGCAGAGGUUGCAGUGAGGCCAAGAUCACACCACUGCACCGCAGCCUGGGUGACAGAGCGAGACUGUGUCUCAAAAAAAAAAUCUUAAAGGUCAUUUUAAGGAUUCUAAAUUUUAUUUCCAGGGCAAUUGGAAGCUAUUUAAAGGUAAUAUGCAGGCACUCAUGUUUCCUGCUUAAGUUCUUCUUUGAGGCAGAUUUACAGAAGGAAAAAAAUCUUUAUAGAUUAAAUCCUUAUGGCUACAGCUGUUUAAUUUUCCAGGAUCCAGAAUGGCAUCUGUUAAAACUUUAGGAAGAUGAGAAGAAUCAUCUAAUUUCUGGGCAUAAAAUGGUUUGAGGGGCACAACUUAAGACUAUUCUACAAGAAUUAGUAAGAAGAAUUUAUUCCUGGAUUUUAAGAGCUUCUAAAAGUCACAUGCCACCCUUUGCAGGUGACAUUUGAUCUUACAGACUAUUGUUAAGAGUCUAGGUCUAGGGGUAGGAGUUAAAAAAAAAAAAGUCUGGAGUCAGAAGGUAUUCAAAUCCCGGCUCUACUAAUUUCUAGCUGAGUCUCCUGGUGACAUUUCCUGUAAAAGUCCCAUGGGUUUUUAGUUUGGCAACAGGUCCUACGCAUAGAGAUUGCUACAGGGAUCGUGUCCAGAUUUCAACAGCAUUUUGGUCAAAUGAUUCAAAUUUGGUACUUGCUCAAUAAAAAAUCAAUAAAUACGAUGAAGGUGAACUAGCCUCUGGGAGGGACAUGGGCAGCAGACUGUGAGACACACAGCAAGUGUUUAAUAGACUACAUAAUCUAUACUAUACACCUUCAACAGUGAUCUAAACAAACUCGACUUGUCACUCAUACCUCAUCAAAACAUUAGUGAUUAAUCUAAGACUUGUGAACUCCAGAUUUUAUUUACUUAUUUUUUAAUUUAAAAAGGAUUCUGAGGCAGAGUCACAGUCUGUCGCCCAGGCUUGAGUGCAGUGUCACGAUCUCUGCAACCUCUGCCUCCCAGGUUCAAGCAAUUCCUGUGCCUCAGCCUUCCAAGUAGGCGGGAUUACAGGCGUGUGCCACCAUACCCGGCUACUUUUUGUAUUUUUAGUAGAAACAGGGUUUCAUCAUGUUGGCCAGGCUGGUCUUGAGCUCCUGACCUCAGGUGAUCCACCUGCCUCGGCCCCUCAAAGUGCUGGGAUUUAAGGUGUGAACCACCGCACCCAGCCUUAAAAUCCAGAUUUUAAUGCCCUGCUUUAGACAUAGUGAAAACACACUAGAGUGAGUCAAAGAUGUGGAUUCUGGUUCCGACUCUAUCACUUUGAGUUCUUUUGGGGAAACACCUAUCUCAGGGUUUCAACCUCAGUAUUAACAACAUUUUGGACUGGAUAAUUCUUUGUUGUCUGAGCUGUCUUGUGUAUCACUGGAUGUUUAACAGUAUCCCUGACCUCUACCGACUCAAUGCCAGUAGCAUUGCCCCAGUUGUGACAACCAAAAAUGUCUCCAGACAUUUCUCAAUUUGUCCUACCCCCUUGAGAAGCAUUUUCAUACUCUGAAUUUCAAUGUCUCAUCUGAAACUCAUGGAAACAUGGAGAUAACAUCUAUUUUGUCCUCCUUCAGGGUUACUAUAUGAUUCAAAUAAGAUAAUGAAUGGGGAAAAAGAGGGGAGAAAAGACCAUAUAUGUAAAAGCCUUAUUAUUACUCUGUGGUAAUAUUAUCAUUAUGCUCUGUGAGAGCUCAGCAAUGAGGUUAAUGCAUUCAUAUCUUGUUUACAGAAUUCACUAUAAGGCUUAGGUAAAGGCUAUAUGCAGUCUAAUAUACCCUUUAGGUGGCUAUUCAAUAAAUACUUGUUGAUUGAUUGAUUCUAAGUCUGGGUCCAACAGUAAGUUCAUUUACUUUUGCUUUCAUGCACGCUUUUUCUGAGAAUUGCUGAGCCACAACAUUGUAGUAUGUUUCCAAACUUAACUCCACUUAAAAGAAUAGGCCUAGAUUAAACAAGAAUAGUUAUUCAUUUUUCAGAUGGAAAACUGAGGUAUAAAGGUUAAAAGGCUAGCCAAGGUCACAGGGCAGUUAGUCUAGUGGUCAUCAUUAGAAGCCUGAUUCUGACCUCAAGCCCAGUGUUCUUUUCAUUAUUCGUAGCAUGGUCCUUCUAUCCAACUAUCUCCUGUCUUUAUGUUCCUAGUCUCUCAACAUCAAGUAAGCUUUUUUUGCGUUCUAAGGGCAACUCAGAAAAACGGAGGCAAGGAAACAGCUGUAGUUUUGAGAGAGGCUUGGAAAAAAAAAACGUAGACCUAUUCCUGUUGAGGCACAAUUGGAUAUUCUCUACAUUCCGGGUAAACCAAUGUCAAGCUAUCCUAGUGCUCUGACAAGUCUAUGAAAUCCUUGCCCAUUAAGUUGUCCAGGAGGAGCUAAAUCUAAUCGUUACCCCCCUCCAGAGCAGUUGUGUCCUGCAAUGCUUUAUGCCAUGCUUCUGGCAUACAGUAUGCGCUACAACUGUUAUCUGCAGUACUCUUGGCUGCUCUACCUCUAAGUGGCUCUAAGUGGGGUGAAAAUGGACUUCCAUACAGCCCCAAGCUCUAGGCUACAUUUUGGCAUUCUGUGAAUAAUGCAUAAAAGCCCCAAAUGCCUUUCUACUAUUUGUAUUUUCAGGGUCAGAAACAGAAAUUUUGAGAAUAAUUCAUAAAAAUGUCACCAUUUAUUCUACUCCUUUAAAAUAUCAGAUCAUCUCUGAUUAUCAUGGCUUUGUGUGAACUUUCAUAUGCUGAAUGUUGUCACAGUGCUGUCACUCUCAAACACUGACUCAACAGUGUUCUGGAUAAUUCCCAGGCAAGGGGAAUUGGUGGGCUGAAGCCCACCUUAAUCUUUAUAAUGAUUACAAUUUGAAAAAUGUAAGACUAGAAAUUUUUGUUCUAGCCCUGGUUUUCUAUUACAUUAGGUAAUUUAGCCUUUCUGGUCAUAGCUUCCUGAGUCAAGGAACAGACUAAUUCAUCUUUAGAGCCUAUUUCGGUCUGAAAAGUUUAGGUACAUAUAAGAAUAGUUUCAGUGAGGGCCGGGUGUGGUGGCUCAUGCCUGUAAUCCCAGCACUUUGGGAGGCCAAGGUGGGCGGAUCACGAGGUCAGGAGAUUGAAACCAUCCUGGCUAACACGGUGAAACCCUGUCUCUACUAAAAAUACAAAAAUUAGCCGGGCGUGGUGGCAGGCACCUGUAGUCCCAGCUACUCGGGAGGUUGAGGCAGGAGAAUGGCGUGAACCCGGGAGGUGGAGCUUGCAGUGAGCCGAGAUCGCACCACUGCACUCCAACCUGGGCGACAGAGUGAGACUCCAUCUCAAAAAAACAAACAAACAAAAAACAACAAAAAAAGAAUAGUUUCAGUGAGAAACAAAUGCACACUUGACUUGUCGAAAUGCACUCUGAAUAAUAGGGCUGGGCGCAGUGGCUCACACCUGUAAUCCCAGCACUUUGGGAGGCCAAGACGGGCAGAUCACUUGAGGCCAGGAGUCUGAGACCAGCCUGGCCAACAUGGCAAAACGCUGUCUCUACUAAAAAUACAAAAACUAGCCAGGUUUGGUGGCGUGCACCUGUAAUUCCAGCAACUCAGGAAGCUGAGGCACGAGAAUUGCUUGAACUUGGGAGGCAGAGGUUGCAGUGAGCCGAGAUUGCGCCACUGCACGCUAGCCUGGGCGACACAGCAAGACUGUCUCAAAACAAAACAAAACAAAAAAAUGAAACGCAUUCUGAAUAAUGAUUGAUAUACUUUAGCCAUUCUAACAUUUCAGUGGCUUUAACAUUGAUUAAACACAUUCCAGAACAUACUGUUCAUAUUACUUUCCAGAACCAAUCUUAAACAAUCAUCUGCUCUGAGAGGCACCUUGCCAAAGCAGAAACAGCAAGGGCAAGAGCCCACUCUGUUCUCAGAGUCAGGCUGCUCACUGUUGCAGGGCAUUGCCGUCUUUUUUCCCCCAUAAAGUAAGUAUAUUUUAUUUAAUUGUUACCCAGAACAGUAACUAUUGCCAGUACUCCAGGAGCUCCCCUCCUGCCUCUCCCAGUCAUGCUUCCUCCUCCUCUCCGGGGGGAUCUUCUCUCCUGACUUCUAAAAUCAUACACAGUCUUCUGUGAUUUUGAAAUUUAUAUAAAUGGAAGCAGAAAGAAUGUACUAUUGUGUCUGGGUCCUUUGCUCAACAUAAUUUUUGGGAGGUUCAUCCAUAUUGUGUGUAGCAGCAGUUUGUUAUUUUUCAUUGCUCUAUAGUUUCCUUUGAAUCAAUAUGCAACUUAACUUUUCAUUUCUGCUCUUGGCAUCUAAACUGUUUUCAGGGUUUUUAAUAACACUGCUGUGAACAUUUGCAAAUACUUUCCCUCCCCAAGAUUGGUCACAUUCUUCUCAGCACUUAUUAGAGUCAGUCUACUUAAUUUUAGCCAUUCUGGUGGGUAUAAAUUGAACUUUAAUUUGCAUCUUCCUAAUGACUAUUGAAGUGGAAACUUUUUCAUACAUGUAUUGGCUUUUGGAUAUCCUUUCUUUUGUUAACUAUUUGUUCAAGUUUGUGGCUUAUUUUUCUGUGAGGUCUUUUUCUUACUGAUUUGCAAAGGUUCUUUACAUAUUCUGGAUGAGUCUUCUAUCAUCACACACAUUGCAAAUAUCUUCUCCCAGUCUGUGGCUUCCCUUUUCAUUUCUUUUAUUGUGUCUUUAGAUGAACGAACAGAAGUUUUUACUGUUAAUGUAGUCUAUUUAUCAUGCUUUAUUUGUUAUCCUAAGGGGCACUGCCAUCCUUAAAACUCGUAACAAGUUACAAAAACUUUGUAAGGAUAAUAAGUACACGUAAAACUGGGAUAAAAAUCUCACAACAGUAUGAAUAUCAAAUGUAAAAAUACAUAUUGAAGAGACUGCCAUGUUAAUAACAUAUAUAGUAAACAAUAAAUGUUAAUUACUUUCCUAA